AAAAGAAUGUACUUUGAAUAUGAGACUUAGCGUCUAUGGAAUUGUCUUGUAACAAUUUUCGAUAGAAUACCUUGGAACUUCAUUAUCCAAGUCUUGGUGACUUUUUUGCUAUGACAUUACGAAAGGACCAUUGCAUAAAAUGUUAGAAUUUGACAUAUUCCAAAAGUGGCAAGAAUAUGGUACUCUUACACUAAUGAUGAAGAUUGGGAAUUGUAAAAUGAGUUUCAUUGGAAAGGUUUUCAAUUAAUAUAUUUCACAAAGUAAGGACCAUAGGUAACAUAAUGUGCAUGCUCGAAGCAUAGGACAACUAUUGUUGUAAUUCAAGAAAUAGUUGAGUAUCCGAAACAUUAAACAAUGAAUAAUGAGUAGUCAAUAUGGUGUUUAAAUAAAAGUUUUUUAUUUACGCUCAAAAGUUUUGGGGCCAUAUAUCAUUAAGUAUUAUCGUUGUGUUUCAGUUUGCAUGUUUUGAUUCCAGAAUAACUGGGUUAUCCGAACCUCCACAAUCGGUCAUACAUUGGAAGUAGGUAUGAAGGAAGACUGUCAUGAAUGUAUCUGUAGAUUGUCUAAAGUUUUUAGACAUAGCACAAGUUUGUUGCAGAGUUCAUGAGUGCUUUGGUAAGAUUAAAGUAUUGGAUUAAACCCACGCUCACUUGAAUCACUUCAUUGAUUUAUCAUGGGUGAUUAGUGAUACGAUAACUUUGUAUAUUCUUGAAACCGAGACGUGUGAGUUGUUAUUUGCUGGUCGGUUGCACAUUGAUGAUAAGUAAAUGCACCAGUAACUUAGUGUUAUAAAACUUAUUGUUGUGUGUGAUUUGAUUAGUAGGUGCAAUCAAGCAUUUGAUUCAAAGUUUAUCCAUUCCUUUUACCCAAAGUGGGAUAAAAGCGAUAUAUGUGGGACCCUAGAUGAUUUAGUGAUGACACCCUAAGCGCUUGGCCAAGCCGGGACUAAGUUGAUGUGUUCAAUUGUAGUCUGUUGUCAGUCAUCAUAAAUCAGAUGUCGGGAAACAAUACAUAGACAAAGAGAAUGAUUUAAAUCCAUGUCUCGUGUCCAGUGUUGUAAAACUCACCGAGUUGGCCAAGUACUCCUCCGAGUACUCGAUACUCGGCCCCUUACCAAGGCGAGUUAUAGAAUCCCGAGUACUCCCCAACCGGCCUCUUAUAGAACUGAGCAGUGUUCUAAAAAUUGGUCAACUCAGUGAUUAAUAUAUAUAUAUAUAUAUAUAUAUAUAUAUAUAAUAUACUAAAUGAUUUAUUAUUUAACACACAUACACAUGUGAUUAUUACUACAUAUAUAUGUUAAACCUUCAGUAAUUAUUCACGAAGUGAGACCAUUAUCUGCUUUUCAGUUUUUGUGUAUUCACAUGUAUAUGAUUUUGUUAUAUAUUUAAAUCAACUUAUGAUUUUAACUUAUGAUUUUGACAUGUAUAAUUUCCUUAAAAAUAUUUCUACAUGAAUUACCGAAUCCGAGUACUCACCGAGUACUCGCUACUCAGUAGUCGACCGAGCAGGUACCGAGUAACGAGUUCUACAAACUUACUCGUGUCUAAACGAUAUCUUGAGAAUGGAGGAAUAUAUAAUCCCUUAUCUAAAGGAUACGCGUAUCUGAAAAGAUCAGAGUAGACAACGACUUUUGAAAGCUACGAUUGCUGAUCAGGUUCUGAAGUUAUACAAAAUAUUUAUUAGACUUAUCCAAGUGGGAGAUUGUUGGAUUAGUGUCUAAGUCCAUAAUUAUUUUGGUAUGUACUUGACCCGAUUAUGACCAUGGUCCUUUUGGGUUGCCUUCACCAUAGCAAUAUGUAGGAUGAAUUAAGGAGAGAAAGGUUUAAUUAUGAUUAAUUAAUAUAUUAUGAGAAUGCUAUCUUAAAGUAGAAAUCAUAUUGUUUAAUUAAUAUUAGUCAAGAAUUAAUAAAGAAUUAAUUUUGUGGCUAAAAGAGAUUAAUUAAAUUUAGGGGACAAGAAUUGUAAUUAUAGGAUAACUGCAAUUGGGCUAUGCAUCACCUUGGAAUAAUAGGUUGGACGAGUUCUAUGGGGAAGCCCAAUAGAAAUCUUCCAAGGCAUGUUCUAGAAGGGAUCCAUGGGCUGCUUAGGGCUUAAGCAGUCAAAUUAGGGUUUCCUGGUUGGUUAACCCUAAUAUCCUAAGUAUAUAACGAACCCUUGGGCACCAAAAAUGUGGCUAACACUUGGAUUAGGGUUUCCAACCGUUUUUGGUGCCUCCCCUCUCUUCUCUUCUUCAUCUUGUUGCUUAGUGCUGUUUAGGACUCCAUUAGAGGUGCAACACUUGAGGCACUAAGCUUUCUGAAGCCAAGGAAUAGAUUGUUAUUGCUACAUAACAAUCAAAGGUAUUUUCUAAACCCUAAUUCAUAUUAUAAUAUGUUAGAUCUAGGUUUUAUUGCUUUGGAUAUUCAAUUUCAUGUUCAUUAGACAAACUAGAUCCAAAAGCUCUUAGGGUUUGCAUGUACACCGUAGGAAUGAUGUAUUGCUCCAAACCCAUCAGUGGUAUCAGAGCCUAGAGUUGUUUGUUAAUGAAUUGAUGCUCAUUUGAUGGUUUAUUGGCUGAAUAAAAUGUUUUUUUCCCUUCUGCUUGAUUGACUCGGCGAGUCAGGCUGACUCGACGAGUCCAAUCUUUGACUCGGCGAGUCCAAGGGUCUGGCAACAUUUUUUGGUGAUUUUCUUGUUGUUUUGGCUUGGGAUACCUACCAUAAAUGUUUUUAAUUAAUAAAAUCCGAUUUUUAUUGAUUUUGGGUGAAUAUCCUUACCAAAAUAGUAGAUAAUUACCAUUUAAUCAAAUAUUUGUUACCUUAUAAGAUAAUGUUUAAUUAUUUGAGUUAUUUGAUGAAUUAUCCUGCAAGAUAUUUGACUAAUUCAAAAUUAGAUAAUUGCCUUAUUUAAAUAGUUUCAAAUUACUCCCUUUAAGUUUUAUAUUUUAAACUUGAAGUUAAAAGUUUUGUUUUUGAAAUUUAAAUAGUUAAACCCUAAUGUUUUUGAAAAGUUUCAAAACUUGCCCUCAAGUUUCGGAAUUUAAAUUUUUAUUAAAAGUUUAAUUUUGAAAUAUUUAAAUUCUAAACCCUAAUGUUUUGAAAUGUUUCAAAACAUGCCCUCAAGUUUUGGAAUUUAAAAUUUUGAUUAAUAGUUUAAUUAUGUAAUAUUUAAAUUCUAAAACCCUAGUAUUUUGAAAAGUUCAAAUUACACCCUCAUGGUUUUGUUAUCUUAAUUAAAAGUUUAAUUAAAAGAGAAAGUUAUUAAAACCACUUAGUAUUUUAAAAGUGUAAAAUACACCCUGUACUAUAUAUAUGUAACAUUAAAAGUCUAAUAUUAUAUAUAUGUAUAUGUAUAUAUAUAUAUAUAUAUAUANUUACCGUUAGUAGGCCUCAUUCACGAAGCUGGUCUAUAAGGGGUGUUUAAGGAAAUUGCCUAUAAAAUGCCAACUGAAUGGGUAUCCACUCUUACCCACCUCCCUCUUGACUAGUGGAGGGUCGUUAGCCGAACAGGUAUGAUAGGACAUAAACCUUCCACUAUAAGUAUAAUGAAGUACAAAGUAACUAUUUUUUUUUUAAAUUCCCAAAUCAUAGUUACUUUAGGCAAAAUGUGAAAUUGUAUGCUAAUCUAUGGAAUGACACUUUGUAACCUAUCCAGGACGUUAGUGGAGUGUGUGUGGUUCACCGGCACACUAAUUUGGGUUUGGCAUUGGUAGCGAAGGGUGGCUUGAUGUUUAUCAUAGAUCAGUGGAGCGAGUGUGGCUAACCGGCACAUUGAUUAGGUGAUAGUAGCGAUAAGUGCACCAUGUACAUUCGCAUUGUUAUUCACACCUUGUUUGUGAUUCUCGGCAUCCCAGUCGCAAAUAGUAGGGCAUAAUCGAGAUUAAACAUGCCAUUGAAAAGUUCAAUGAAUCUCAAAGGAUCUAGGAGUUUUCAUAGAUUUAAGAUCGGAAGAGCGGUUCAGNGAGUUUCAAUUCAUUUAAAACUUAAAUUUCUUUUUCGUUUUUCAUGGUGAAAAUUGGUAAAUCGUCAUUUACCUACCUUCAAAUAUUCUGCAACUGGAUUACGACAUCCCUCUUCUAGGUUGUAAAGUAUUAUGUUGGAUCUUAGCCUUGAUGUUUCAUUUUGGUGUUACAUCAAGGAUUCUAAUCAACUUGACUUGAAUUUCUCCCGUUUUAUAGAUGUCUAAAUCUAACAAUGGUCUUCCCAAAUCCCAUGGAACAAGUUUUCCAAAUGAAGAUGAUAUUCCAUGAUAUGAUCGGGGAACUAGAGAUCAUGCUUCACUUCUUCCACCUCCUUUAAUUAUUCUCCUUGAUCCACAAGUUCGAAGGCUUGAAAAGUUCAAGAUCACUCAAGCCUUUUUAGCAAGUAAACACGAAGAUGGGAAACCUAUGUGUGCACACGUCGUAGAGAUCAAGUCACACAUUGACAGGUUAAGGAUGUUGGGUGUCAAGAUUUCAGGUGAGAUGGCUAUUGACUGGGUUCUUCAGUCGCUUCCUGAAUCAUAUAGAGAGUUCAUUAGAAAGUACUAUAUGAUGGACCACGACGUGACCCUCAUUGAUCGCACCUAUUUGCUUAUAGCUGCUGAAUCAACAAUGAUUUGGUGUGCUGGUCAACCAAAUUUGUCUGGUGAAUCAAACUCACAAACUUCAAUGGACACUGGCAACAUUGGAAGUCUAGAAAGGACUAAGUAUGAGAUUGUCCCAUGUGUUGUGCCAAAGGAGUCCAUUUGCUUUUAUUGCCAAGAGAAGGGGCAUUGGAGACGAAGCUUCCCAAACUACCUGAGAGAUCUAAGAGAUGGGAGAGUCAAGACGUAUGACUCUACUUCAGGUAAAAUCCAAUAACUUACUCUUUAAGUUCCUAAUCUUUGAUUUUCAAUACAUGAUGAGAUAAGAUUACAUUUUGAUGUUUUGUAGGAUCGAAGAAAAGAGAGGAAACUUAAGGGAAGAAGUAAGCUGAAUCUGAUCGUGAAGAAAUGGAUUUCAAUCGCAUUGCUUGAACAUCGGAUUUUUGAGCUACUACUUUAGAGUUUGAAUAGAUUUUUUAGAAAUUGAAAUAGCAUAGUUUUCGUUUGAAUUGCAUUGUAAGGACAAGUUUUUUCCGCAAUAAAAUGAAUUUUUGAUUUCAUCUUGUUUAUUUAUCCUUGCAAUGGCAUAUGUGAAAAUGGAUGUUUAUGUAUUUCUAAUUUUAGCAAUGUUGAAUUGAAUGUGAUUCUUGAUUUUGUUAUUUGUGAAAUGUCGAGGAUUUACCAAAUAGGGAGAGUUUCUCAUCGCCCAAGUUUCAAUUGGACAGAAACAUGGAAUCAUGCAACAUGCAUUGUGUGAUGAAUGAAAAACUUUCAUAUUUGGAAAUUAGACUAAUUCUUUGACAAAGAGUCAAGUGAAGGACUAGGAGAUCAACUACACUAGGUUGUGCGUUGAUCAAGUCCACCACAAGAGUGAUAAAGAUAUUCGUCGUGAUUUACUAAUGUUUAGUAAAUAUGAUUAUACUUAUAAGAUUAAGUGUAAUUCUGAGUUGGUUGAAAGAGUUUCAAUGAAUAGUAGAACGAAUAAAGUAGAAUCAAGUAGGCAGAAAGAUAAAAGUUUCUCCAUUCUAAGAAGAAGAGAGAGUACCUUUUAUUGUGUUUUAUGAUAAGUCUUAAAGAUUCAGAACCAUAUAUAAAUUGAUCCUCUAAGUGAGUCUUAGUGCAUUUUUAUGUCUAAUAAGAGCAAUCGAGAAUUCUGGAAAUGGUUAAAUCAAGAAGCCAAUCAUCCUUCAUUCCAAUAUCAAGUCUUAGAGUUGUACUCCAAGAUUGUGAAUUGAGUGACACGUCUUUGGUAGGUUUAUAACACUCAACAAAUAUGGAAUUGGAAAAAGUCUUCUUAUUCAUGUACAUUUGAAAUUGGUAAGUUGUGAUGUCUUGGAUAAGACAAAGACCAACUAGGACUAGUUAUGUGAAGUGUUAGUCUUGAUAAGAUUUUGCACUAACUCUUGAAUAUUUGUUUUCUCAAGGAAAGUUCCCUGAUAAGAGAAUCAUAUAUGUCAAGAGGUCAUUGGGAGUCUCAGUUGUCUUGAAAAGUUCAAUAACUAAUCAAGAAUAAACCAAUAGUUAAUCACUAGCACACGACUUGAGGUUGGCGACCUAUCGUGUAGACAUAAUUUUGUUUCUGUGCCAUUCCAGAUUAAGUCAAAUAUGCAAUAUGAUUUCUAUGAGUUCUCAAUUGGAUUUCAUAAAGGCAAGGCACCCUGACCAAUGGAAAGUACAUUGAUAAGGUAAGGGUGAUCUUGUUAACAACCUGGAAGCAAUGGUGGGCAUUCAUGGUGCCACAAGGCGAGAAAUCAAGAUUGAACAAGUUCAAUCCAAAUGAGUUGGAUUUGUCACAAACAUUGUCUUAUGAUUGUUGUUAUCACAAAUUUGCGUGGAUAGGAACACAUACACUUUAAAAUCUAAAUGUCAUAAGGUUUUCCUCCUUCAUAAAAAUGAUUGUAAGGAAAUGCUUUCACUAAGUGAGAUUUUAAGAAGAUUUCAAUUGUGAAAAUUGUAUUCUCAAAUUCAAUUACGAUUGCGGCAUCCCUCUUCAUAGUUCGAAUUGUGAGAUUUGGCAAUUAGUCUGAACAUUUGGGACUCAGUAUCAUAAGUUCUGAAUUUCUUUAGACACACAUGUGAGCUUUCUAAGGCAAAAGUGUAUGAGGUUAAGAAGCUUAGAUAAAGGCUUAUCAAAGCAUCAAGUAUUUAGAAAUAUGAACUUAAGGAAUUCAACAAGCAUUGUGUUCUGGAAGUUCAGAUGUUUUCUGAAUAUAUGUCAAAGCUAGUGGGAGCAUAAGUGUUAUGCUUGUAUGGUAAUAAUCAUCAUGUUAGUGGGAGCAUGAUUAUUAUUUUAGGUAUUGCAAGUUAGCAAUAUUAAUUAUAGAAAAAAAAUAUUCACUUUGCAAAGUUGCAGGGGCUGAAAAGUUGUUUUGCUAUAAUUAAGGGAGAGAAUAUUACACUUCAUUUCAAAUUUAAACGCUUAGAUUGUGGUAUUUUAAUCAAAUUUAGUCAAAUAUAUAUGAAUGUUGUGUUAGAAUGGUUCAACAUGAGUAAAUUAUAUAUAUGGAAAGGAUAAUUGCAUUCUCAAAAUUUGGUUAUGAUUAUGGCAUCCCUUUUCAUAAUCAAAAUUUUGAGAACGUGGCAAUUAGAAAUAUUAUAGCAAAAGACUGGUAAAGUAUCAUGUCUUUAUGUAAGACAUUAUGAAUCGUGUCCCAUACGCUUCAGGUAUAGGAUCGCUUGCAUAUGCUAUAAUGUUUGAUCGCUCUAAAAUUUUCCAAAUGAUUACCGCAUUAAGAGGGAAAAAGGACAAGAACGGUUUUGACUAAAAUAAUUAAAUAACUAUCAAAGGACAAUCUAAGGUUCGCCAAGGAUUUGUUGCUUGUGAGUAGUUGGAAGUAUAGUGUUGGAUGGACCAUAUUAACAUUAUUUUGAAUAAAUAAGACUCUAUUUAGAAUGAGUUGUCAGAUGGCAAAUAUGGAAAUGUUUCUAUAUUGGGAGUUGGAUAUUGAGAGUCUAUGGCUAGAUUAGAAACUUUUAUGCAAGAAGGAUGUUCAAAGGAAUGUACUUUGAAUGUAAGACUUAGCGUCUAUGGAAUUGUCUUGUAACAAUUUCCGAUAGAAUACCUUGGAAUUUCAUUAGCCAAGUCUUGGUGACUUUUGUGCUAUGACAUUACGAAAGGACCGUUGCAUAAAAUGUUAGAAUUUGACAUAUUCCAAUAGUGGCAAGAAUUUGGUAUUCUUACACUAAUGAUGAGGAUUGAGAAUUGUGAAAUGAGUUUCAUUGGAAAGGUUUUCAAUUAAUAUAUUUCACAAAGUAAGGACCAUAGGUAACAUAAUGUGCAUGCUCGGAGCAUAGGACAACUAUUGUUGUAAUUCAAGUAAUAGUUGAGUAUCCGAAACAUUAAACAAUGAAUAAUGAGUAGUCAAUAUGGUGUUUAAAUAAAAGUUUUUUAUUUACGCUCAAAAGUUUUGGGGCCAUAUAUCAUUAAGUAUUAUUGUUGUGUUUUAUUUUGCAUGUUUUGACUUCCAGAAUAACUGGGUUAUCCGAACCUCCACAAUCGGUCAUACAUUGGAAGUAGGUAUGAAGGAAGACUGUCAU
rnacentral:lncRNA from 1 species